UACGGGGGGAGCAAGGCGUUGUUCGGAUUUACUGGGCGUAAAGGGCGCGUAGGCGGCGUAACAAGUCACUUGUGAAAUCUCCGGGCUUAACCCGGAGCGGCCAAGUGAUACUGUUGUGCUAGAGUGCGGAAGGGGCUACUGGAAUUCUCGGUGGUAGCGGUGAAAUGCGUAGAUAUCGAAGAGGAACACCAGUAGCGAAGGCGACA
rnacentral:rRNA from 1 species